rnacentral:misc_RNA from 1 species
GUAUGCUUUAGGAGGGGCUUGCGCCAUAUUAGUUAGUUGGUAGGGUAAUGGCCUACCAAGACGAUGAUGUGUAGCUGGACUGAGAGGUUGAACAGCCACAUUGGGACUGAGACACGGCCCAAACUCCUACGGGAGGCAGCAGUAGGGAAUUUUCGGCAAUGGAGGAAACUCUGACCGAGCAACGCCGCGUGAAUGACGAAGUACUUCGGUAUGUAAAGUUCUUUUAUCAAGGAAGAAAAGCAAAUGGCGAACCAUUUGUUUGCCGGUACUUGAUGAAUAAGCCCCGGCUAAUUAUGUGCCAGCAGCCGCGGUAAGACAUAAGGGGCAAGUGUUAUCCGGAAUUAUUGGGCGUAAAGGGUGCGUAGGCGGUCUAGUAAGUCAGUGGUGUAAUGGCAACGCUUAACGUUGUCCGGCUAUUGAAACUGCUAAACUUGAGUUAGAUAGAGGCGAGUGGAAUUCCAUGUGUAGCGGUAAAAUGCGUAAAUAUAUGGAGGAACACCAGAGGCGUAGGCGGCUCGCUGGGUCUUAACUGACGCUGAGGCACGAAAGCGUGGGGAGCAAACAGGAUUAGAUACCCUGGUAGUCCACGCCGUAAACGAUGAGUACUAAGUGUCGGGUUAAACCGGUACUGAAGUUAACACAUUAAGUACUCCGCCUGAGUAGUACGUACGCAAGUAUGAAACUUAAAGGAAUUGACGGGACUCCGCACAAGCGGUGGAUCAUGUUGUUUAAUUCGAAGAUACCCGAAAAACCUUACCAGGUCUUGACAUGUUUUUGCAAAAUGAUAGUAAUAUCGUGGAGGUUACCAGAAACACAGGUGGUGCAUGGUUGUCGUCAGCUCGUGUCGUGAGAUGUUAGGUUAAGUCCUAAAACGAGCGAAACCCUUAUCGUUAGUUGCCAGCACGUUAUGGUGGGGACUUUAACGAGACUGCCAAUGAUAAAUUGGAGGAAGGUGAGGAUCACGUCAAAUCAGCAUGCCCCUUAUGACCUGGGCUACAAACGUGAUACAAUGGCUGUUACAAAGGGUAGCUGAAACGCAAGUUCUUGGCCAAUCCCCAAAAACAGUCCCAGUCCGGAUUGAAGUCUGCAACUCGACUUCAUGAAGUUGGAAUCGCUAGUAAUCGCGAAUCAGCAUGUCGCGGUGAAUACGUUCUCGGGGUUUGUACACACCGCCCGUCAAACCACGAAAGUUGGCAAUACCCCAAAACGGUAGCCUAACUCGUUUAUUCGAGAGGGCGCCGUCUAAGGUAGGGUCGAUGAUUGGGGUUAAGUCGUAACAAGGUAUCCCUACCGGAAGGUGGGGAUGGAUCACCUCCUUUCUAAGGAAACCAAUAAAAUCAAUCAUCUUCAGUUUUGAAAGACUUAGGCAACUAAGUUUUUCUUCGUGACUUCACGAAGGGCCUAUAGCUCAGUUGGUUAGAGCACACGCCUGAUAAGCGUGAGGUCGGUGGUUCAAGUCCAUUUAGGCCCACCAGAGUUAUAGGUUUCGUAAGAACACAAAUUCUUUGAAAAUUAGGUAAAUAAUAGUUAUUUAUCCGGAACAUUAAAGGAAAUAAGAGCGCACAGUGGAUGCCUAGGCACCAAGAGCCGAUGAAGGACRACUCAGACACCUUCGUGUUUUAGAAG